GAUGAACGCUGGCGGCGUGCCUAAUACAUGCAAGUCGAGCGAACGGACGAGAAGCUUGCUUCUCUGAUGUUAGCGGCGGACGGGUGAGUAACACGUGGAUAACCUCCCUAUCAGACUGGGAUAACUUCGGGACACCGGAGCUAAUACCGGAUAAUAUUUUGCACCGCAUGGUUCAAAAGUGAAAGACGGUCUUGCUGUCACUUAUAGAUGGUUCCGCGCUGCAUUAGCUAGUUGGUAAGGUAACGGCUUACCAAGGCAAAGGUGCAUAGCCGACCUGAGAGGGUGAUCGGCCACACUGGAACUGGGACACGGUCCAGACUCCUACGGGAGGCAGCAGUAGGGAAUCUUCCGCAAUAGGCGAAAGCCUGACGGAGCAACGCCGCGUGAGUGAUGAAGGUCUUCGGAUCGGAAAACUCUGUUAUUAGGGAAGAACAUAUGUGUAAGUAACAGAGCACAUCUUGACGGUACCUAAUCAGAAAGCCACGGCUAACUACGUG
rnacentral:rRNA from 1 species